CAACUGCUUAUAGACAAGCUCGUGGCAAGAUUAGCUGGUUGGAAAUUCAAGUUGCUUGCGGCAGCAGGGCGCCUGGUUCUGCUAAACUCCGUCCUGUCGGCUUUCACGGUCUACUGGAUGUCUGUGCAUGAGAUGCCGGCAUGGAUGCGCCGGCAGAUCGACAAGAUUCGGCGGGCUUGGCUUUGGAAGGUCCAGGAAUUCUGCCAUGGCGGGCAUUGUAAGGUGGCUUGGGGGCGCAUUUGUAGACAGGGCGAGCUUGGACGGCUCGGCAUCUUAGACCUGCAUUAUUUUGGAGUGGCGUUGCGGCUGCGCUGGCUGUGGCUGGAGCGGACGGCGACGACGAAGCCAUGGGUCUGGCUGCCUGUCCCGUGCUCCACUCCUGAGCGACUGCUGUUCGCGGCUGCCUCUACCGCGACUGUCCGUGACGGCAAAAUGGCGAGGUUCUGGUUCGACAGCUGGCUACUUGGGGAGGCCCCGAUCACCAUCGCGUUAGGCAUCUUCAUGCUCUCACGGCGCAAAAUGCGGUCGGUCCAGGAUGCGCCGCGAGAUGGGAAGUGGGUCAAGGAUGUGCACGCCCGAGUCACUUUCGCCCUCCUCCCGGAGUUCGUGGCUUUGCGGUCUAAACUCUAA
rnacentral:rRNA from 1 species